rnacentral:tRNA from 1 species
UCCCCCGUAGCUCAGCAGGGAGAGCGCCACCUUGACAGGGUGGAGAUCGCUGGUUCGAUGCCAGUCGGGAUCA